AGCUAAUAGCAAAAAAAAGUAUUAAAAGGUUUUGAACAGAGCACGAAUGAAGAGCCAGAAGAAAAUGAAGAUUCAAAUAAAAAAUUUAUUUUAAAAUAUGAAGAUUUGGGAAGUGUCACUGGUUUCUUCCAUCAAAAUGUAUUCAUAUUUAUCAGGUUUUCUAGAAAAAGAUCUUUUUUUGUUGCUCAGCAACAAUUCAUGGAAAUUAUUCGAGCGAUUUAAAUUAAAAUUCAAGUUUUUGUAUGAAUAUCCUACCACAUGGGAAAUAAAUAAUGAAUACAAUAACGCCACAGAAAUAUUAUCCUCCAUAAAAAUAGUAAACGACAAAUUUACAAGGGAUGAAAAUCAAAAGCAAUUUAUAUUAUAGGUAUGAAAUUAUAUAAUAAUACUGCUAAAUUUUUAAUUUUAAAUUACUAUAUAUGUAUUAUAACCUUUACUUUGGACUAUUUUAGGUGGUUCAACAAUAUCGCCAACUGUAUCCCAGUUGUAGCCAAGAAAUUUUGAAUAAAAAAUAUUCAAAUUGGAAAAACUAUUAUUGUGAUAAACAGAGCUUCGAUAUGAGAAAUGUCAAAGAGGUUGUCUAAUUCUUUAGAAAAAAUAUUGUAAUGUUGUUCUUGUGUUUCUGUUUUUCUAGAUUUAUUUUUGUCCAACUUUCUCUAUUUCUCAUACAAUAUUUUUAAUUGAACAACACAGUCUGAAGAAUACUGUGUAGGAAUACGCGCUUUUCUCCAAAAUAUUAAACACUCAUCUAUUACAAUUAUUA